UACAGAGGGUGCAAGCGUUGUUCGGAAUUAUUGGGCGUAAAGCGCGUGUAGGCGGCUUUGCAAGUCGGGUGUGAAAGCCCUCAGCUCAACUGAGGAAGUGCGCCCGAAACUGCAGAGCUUGAGUACCGGAGAGGAUGGCGGAAUUCCCCAAGUAGAGGUGAAAUUCGUAGAUAUGGGGAGGAACACCGGUGGCGAAGGCGGCUCUCUGGACCGGUACUGACGCUGAGACGCGAAAGCCAGGGGAGCAAACGGG
rnacentral:rRNA from 1 species